rfam:Trachymyrmex cornetzi contig26966, whole genome shotgun sequence.
CAAACGGCCCUUUUCAGGGCCACAUAAAGUACACACACUCGACC